CCUACGGGUGGCUGCAGUCGAGAAUCAUUCACAAUGGGGGAAACCCUGAUGGUGCGACGCCGCGUGGGGGAAUGAAGGUCUUCGGAUUGUAAACCCCUGUCAUGUGGGAGCAAAUUAAAAAGAUAGUACCACAAGAGGAAGAGACGGCUAACUAUGUGCCAGCAGCCGCGGUAAUACAGAGGUCUCAAGCGUUGUUCGGAAUCACUUGGCGUAAAGCGUGCGGAGGCUGUUUCGUAAGUCGUGUGGGAAAGGCGCGGGCUUAAACCGCGGACCGCACAUGAAACUGGGAGACUAGAGUAAUCGAGGGGGAAGCGGAAUUCUCGGUGUAGCAGUGAAAU
rnacentral:rRNA from 1 species